AUAGGUUUACUACUUUAGCGUUCUGGGCACCUUUUAUAAGUGACAAUAAAAUGCCUUAAUUUAAGGGUAAACUCGGUUCUGAAUAUGCGAAAGCGACAGUUUCUGUUAAAUGGAUUCUUUUCAAGAGUAGAAAAUAUUGCCCCAUAAGUAGUUCUAUUUAGACAAUCGAAACAUCGUUUAACUGACGUGAAAUACAUUCAAACCUGUCUUUAUCUGCAAUGUAUUUAUUAUUUUCUUUAUUUAUUGUUAUUUUAC
rnacentral:lncRNA from 1 species